rnacentral:rRNA from 1 species
UACUCCUACCGGGGGGCAGCAGUGGGGAAUAUUGCACAAUGGGCGCAAGCCUGAUGCAGCCAUGCCGCGUGUAUGAAGAAGGCCUUCGGGUUGUAAAGUACUUUCAGCGGGGAGGAAGGCGACGGGGUUAAUAACCCUGUCGAUUGACGUUACCCGCAGAAGAAGCACCGGCUAACUCCGUGCCAGCAGCCGCGGUAAUACGGAGGGUGCAAGCGUUAAUCGGAAUUACUGGGCGUAAAGCGCACGCAGGCGGUCUGUUAAGUCAGAUGUGAAAUCCCCGGGCUUAACCUGGGAACUGCAUUUGAAACUGGCAGGCUUGAGUCUUGUAGAGGGGGGUAGAAUUCCAGGUGUAGCGGUGAAAUGCGUAGAGAUCUGGAGGAAUACCGGUGGCGAAGGCGGCCCCCUGGACAAAGACUGACG